rnacentral:misc_RNA from 1 species
GAGAAUCUGUGCAUAGCUCAUAAUCCCUGGUACAUAAACUGACAACAGACUGCAUAUCACUAGUUGAUACAACGAGAAACAUGUACUACUAUAGAGGUGCUGAACAGCUGGUUCUGACUUUACAAAAUAGGGGAAAGACCAUAUCAUGCCGUUAGCAGCACAAUCUCCCCAUGUGAACAUUUGUCGAAGAUAUCCUUGUAGAUCUGUAGUGAAUUAUCACUGUCUUCCUCCAUCUUUGAGACUCUCUCAGCUUCCUUGGCCGCUUCAGCUGCUACAAAUGAUUUAUUUUCAGCUUCUGCAACCUUAUAGGCAGCAGUGAUUGCUGCUUCUUCCGCAGUGUCACCGAGAUAGGCAUUAUUUGGUAACUGCCUUGGCCCAACGUGCUUUUGUUUAGGGGUAGCAGCCGUCUUUGUUUUUUCCAAGACCUCUUUCUUAAUCCUGUAGGAAUUCUCAAUCUUUUCAAGUUUGUCUUGUUGAACAAGCCUCCUCAGCCUAGAACUCAGCAGCCUUCUAAAGUUCUGGGGCACCUCAUGCCUUUGCUCAAUGAAGUUAACAAGUUUGCUUGUGUCAGAUCCAUUUGGCUCGUUUAGACUUGAAAGUGCAUCAUAUAUCAUUUGAUUGUACUUUGAGGCAGUUUUUCCAUCUAGUGCGCAUUUUGAAGAAUCUUCCAUAACAGUGUCUGCUGAUGCAUCUUGUGGAACUAGAGUGGAAGAAAGAGGGGCAUAUGUGAUGGCCAAUGGAGCUGCUGCAGCAUCAGGAUUAGCCUUCGCUUUUGGUGUCCUUGAUUUAUCUCUUGGUCCUUGCCCAUUGGCACUAACAUUUAAAUUUCUCCAUUUAUCCUUAAGAUCGAUAUU